rnacentral:rRNA from 1 species
UACGAAGGGGGCUAGCGUUGCUCGGAAUUACUGGGCGUAAAGCGCAUGUAGGCGGGUCGCUAAGUCGGGGGUGAAAUCCUGGAGCUCAACUCCAGAACUGCCUUCGAAACUGACGAUCUUGAGUUCGGGAGAGGUGAGUGGAACUGCGAGUGUAGAGGUGAAAUUCGUAGAUAUUCGCAAGAACACCAGUGGCGAAGGCGGCUCACUGGCCCGAUACUGACGCUGAGGUGCGAAAGCGUGGGGAGCAAACAGG